rnacentral:rRNA from 1 species
UACGUAGGGGGCAAGCGUUGUCCGGAUUUAUUGGGCGUAAAGAGCGUGUAGGCGGCCAUGCAGGUCCGUUGUGAAAACUCGAGGCUCAACCUCGAGACGUCGAUGGAAACCGCAUGGCUAGAGUCCGGAAGAGGAGAGUGGAAUUCCUGGUGUAGCGGUGGAAUGCGCAGAUAUCAGGAGGAACACCAAUAGCGAAGGCAGCUCGCUGGGACGUUACUGACACUGAGGCGCGAAAGCGUGGGGAGCGAACAGG